CGGCAUGCCUAAGACAUGCAAGUCGAACGAAGCGGCCCACAGAUUUACAUUGAAGUUGGAGUGCUUGCACAAAAAUGAAUAUGUAAUGACGUGGAUUUCCGCUUAGUGGCAAACGGGUGAGUAACACGUGGGUUAACCUACUCUAAGUUGGGGAUAACAGUUGGAAACGAUUGCUAAUACCGGAUACGUUCUACGGAAUAAAGGAGCCCUUAAAGCUCCGCUUAGAGAUGGGCCUGCGGCGUAUUAGCUUGUUGGUGGGGUAACGGCCUACCAAGGCAACGAUGCGUAGCCGAACUGAGAGGUUAAUCGGCCACACUGGGACUGAGACACGGCCCAGACUCCUACGGGAGACAGCAGUUAGGAAUAUUCGUCAAUGGGGGAAACCCUGAACGAGCAAUGCCGCGUGAAGUGAUGACGGCCCUCUGGGUUGUAAAACUCUGUUGUUUGGAAAGAAUUGUUAGAGAAGGAAAUGUCUUUAACUUGACGGUACCAUUCAAGAAAGCCACGGCUAACUACGUGCCAGCAGCCGC
rnacentral:rRNA from 1 species